rnacentral:rRNA from 1 species
UGAGGAAUCUUGCGCAAUGGGGGAAACCCUGACGCAGCAACGCCGCGUGAGUGAGGAAGGUCUUCGGAUCGUAAAGCUCUGUCAGUUGGAAAGAAAUGUCCGAGAGUCAAUACCUUUCAGGCUUGACGGUACCAACAGAGGAAGCACCGGCUAACUCCGUGCCAGCAGCCGCGGUAAUACGGGGGGUGCAAGCGUUGUUCGGAAUUAUUGGGCGUAAAGAGCGUGUAGGCGGCCGGAUAUGUCAGAUGUGAAAACCCCGGGCUUAACCCGGGAAGUGCAUUUGAAACUGUCCGGCUCGAGUAGGGGUGAGGGAAGUGGAAUUCCUGGUGUAGAGGUGAAAUUCGUAGAUAUCAGGAGGAACACCGAUGGCGAAGGCGACUUCCUGGCCCUAUACUGACGCUGAGACGCGAGAGCGUGGGUAGCAAACAG